UACGGAGGGUGCAAACGUUGCUCGGAAUCAUUGGGCGUAAAGCGCACGUAGGCGGUCGGCUAUGUCGGAUGUGAAAGCCUCGGGCUUAACCCGAGAAGGGCAUCCGAAACUGGCCGGCUUGAGUACGGAAGAGGGUCUCGGAAUUCCCGGUGUAGAGGUGAAAUUCGUAGAUAUCAGGAGGAACACCGAUGGCGAAGGCAGGUCUCUGGGCUGAAACUGACGCUCAAGCACGAAAGCGUGGGGAGCAAACAGG
rnacentral:rRNA from 1 species